GCAGCUCAUUAACAAAUUUUAACUGAUUGUUAAUGCCAAAAAUAAAUAUUCGGUCGAAAUCAUGAUUAUAUUCUUGAUAAGGUAGAUGAGUUAUUUCGACAUGCUGCAAAAUACAAAGAGAUUUCGAUCAAGAGCACUUCGACAUGCCGCAUUUUCGACAAAGUGAUUUAACAUGUUUCAUGCAUGUGUGGUUAAUGGAGCCCCAUCAGUUUAUCAAUGUCUGAGUUUUAUUACUAUGGACUUGGAAUACUUCAACAUAGACAUAGUGGUAGUAAUAAUAAUAAAGCAAAGUCGAAUAUGCGGUGACAAACAAGCCUGAAGUUUAUUGAAGUUAUUUUUUAAUGUCUUGUGAUUAUGUCAAGUGUAGGGCUCUAAGUAUAGGAAGUUAUUGGUAGUUUUUACUGCAAAGUCAAUAUGUAUCAGUUUGUAAUAAGAAAAAAGGGUUGAAUCCUAUUUUCUAAAAGCCUUGCAACACCCACGCCGCGUUGGCAAACGGGUUCAGGGGCGAACAGAGAUGGAUUCCAAUCACCCUUUACAUUUCCCUACAAUUUAAUAAUAUUGUUUUGUUCUUGCUU
rnacentral:lncRNA from 1 species